rnacentral:rRNA from 1 species
GACGAACCGUGCGAACGUUGUUCGGAAUCACUGGGCUUAAAGGGCGCGUAGGCGGGCUGUCAAGUCUGGGGUGAAAUCCCGCGGCUCAACCGUGGAACUGCCUCAGAUACUGACGGCCUCGAGGGAGAUAGGGGUGAGCGGAACUGUGAGUGGAGCGGUGAAAUGCGUUGAUAUUCACAGGAACUCCGGUGGCGAAGGCGGCUCGCUGGAUCUCUUCUGACGCUGAGGCGCGAAAGCCAGGGGAGCAAACGGG